rnacentral:rRNA from 1 species
CUACGGGCCGCUGCAGUGGGGAAUAUUGCACAAUGGAGGAAACUCUGAUGCAGCAACGCCGCGUGGAGGAUGACACUUUUCGGAGCGUAAACUCCUUUUAUAUAGGAAGAAGAUGACGGUACUAUAUGAAUAAGCGCCGGCUAACUCCGUGCCAGCAGCCGCGGUAAUACGGAGGGCGCAAGCGUUACUCGGAAUCACUGGGCGUAAAGAGCAUGUAGGCGGAUUAAAAAGUCAGAAGUGAAAUCCUAUAGCUUAACUAUAGAACUGCUUCUGAAACUCUUAAUCUAGAAUAUGGGAGAGGUAUAUGGAAUUUCUGGUGUAGGGGUAAAGUCCGUAGAGAUCAGAAGGAAUACCGAUUGCGAAGGCGAUCUACUAGAACAUUAUUGACGCUGAGACGCGAAAGCGUGGGGAGCAAACAGGAUUAGAUACCCCUGUAGUC